CAGCCGCCACGGGAAUACGAAGGGGGCUAGCGUUGCUCGGAAUGACUGGGCGUAAAGGGCGCGUAGGCGGAUUGUUUAGUUAGGCGUGAAAUUCCUGGGCUUAACCUGGGGACUGCGCUUAAUACAGGCAGUCUAGAGUGAGGAAGAGGGUUGUGGAAUUCCCAGUGUAGAGGUGAAAUUCGUAGAUAUUGGGAAGAACACCGGUGGCGAAGGCGGCAACCUGGUCCUUGACUGACGCUGAGGCGCGAAAGCGUGGGGAGCAAACAGGAUUAGAUACCCCUGUAGUCCCUGUCUCUUAUAA
rnacentral:rRNA from 1 species